UGACGAUGUUGAUGAUGACGAUGAUGAUGAUGACGAUGAUGAUGAUGACGAUGAUGAACAUCAUCAUCAUCAUCAUCAUCAUCAUCAUCAUCGCCG
rnacentral:pre_miRNA from 1 species